UCCGGCAUCUUGGGCACAUUUCAAUAUCAAUGGUACGAUCAUCCUCACACGACAGAUAAAAGUUUCCUCUGUGAUAAAAAUGUGGUUUGUGGGCAUUCUGCUGUAUGCGCCUAUCUGUGCCCAACAAGAACUUCAGUUCUUCAAAAUGCUUCUGUGUUACUCCAUAGAGCCCACCAAUCCUUAAAUGCUUUACCCCUUGAGCACCCAUAGUCUUUAACACCUUUAAGCUAGUUACAAUGCCUUCAAUGCCAAGUCUAGUACAUCCAGGCACACUCAGCUGCAUAAAGGAAGAAAAUUGGCAUUAAUCAAGG
rnacentral:misc_RNA from 1 species